CGCUGGCGGCAGGCUUAACACAUGCAAGUCGAGCGCCCGCAAGGGGAGCGGCAGACGGGUGAGUAACGCGUGGGAACAUACCCUUUGGUUCGGAAUAACUCAGGGAAACUUGAGCUAAUACCGGAUACGUCCGUAAGGAGAAAGAUUUAUCGCCAAAGGAUUGGCCCGCGUCCGAUUAGCUAGUUGGUGAGGUAAAGGCUCACCAAGGCGACGAUCAGUAGCUGGUUUGAGAGAACGACCAGCCACACUGGAACUGAGACACGGUCCAGACUCCUACGGGAGGCAGCAGUGGGGAAUUUUGGACAAUGGGGGCAACCCUGAUCCAGCAAUGCCGCGUGAGUGAUGAAGGCCUUAGGGUUGUAAAGCUCUUUUACCAGGGAUGAUAAUGACAGUACCUGGAGAAUAAGCUCCGGCUAACUCCGUG
rnacentral:rRNA from 1 species